CAAAAGCAACCAGAUCAAAUCUGUAUUAAGAAUAUGCAGAGAUAAUAAAUAUUUUUUUAUAGAGUAUUCACACGAUAGUGCUGUUGAACCUGCAAAAAUUACAAGUAAUCCAGAAUUAAAAUUUUAUGUGUUACAGAUUGGAAAAAGUAUAGUAACAGUCAAGAGUGUAGAGGGAAAAAGGAACUAUACAGACAUCUUAGAAAGCAGUAUCAAGAUGACUUUUACCACUGAAGUAGGAGAAGUCAAUAUUCAAUUAAGUCCUAG